GACGAACGCUGGCGGCGUGCCUAAUACAUGCAAGUCGUACGCUUCUUUUUCCACCGGAGCUUGCUCCACCGGAAAAAGAAGAGUGGCGAACGGGUGAGUAACACGUGGGUAACCUGCCCAUCAGAAGGGGAUAACACUUGGAAACAGGUGCUAAUACCGUAUAACAAUCGAAACCGCAUGGUUUUGAUUUGAAAGGCGCUUUCGGGUGUCGCUGAUGGAUGGACCCGCGGUGCAUUAGCUAGUUGGUGAGGUAACGGCUCACCAAGGCCACGAUGCAUAGCCGACCUGAGAGGGUGAUCGGCCACAUUGGGACUGAGGCACGGCCCAAACUCCUACGGGAGGCAGCAGUAGGGAAUCUUCGGCAAUGGACGAAAGUCUGACCGAGCAACGCCGCGUGAGUGAAGAAGGUUUUCGGAUCGUAAAACUCUGUUGUUAGAGAAGAACAAGGAUGAGAGUAACUGUUCAUCCCUUGACGGUAUCUAACCAGAAAGCCACGGCUAACUACGUGCCAGCAGCCGCGGUAAUACGUAGGUGGCAAGCGUUGUCCGGAUUUAUUGGGCGUAAAGCGAGCGCAGGCGGUUUCUUAAGUCUGAUGUGAAAGCCCCCGGCUCAACCGGGGAGGGUCAUUGGAAACUGGGAGACUUGAGUGCAGAAGAGGAGAGUGGAAUUCCAUGUGUAGCGGUGAAAUGCGUAGAUAUAUGGAGGAACACCAGUGGCGAAGGCGGCUCUCUGGUCUGUAACUGACGCUGAGGCUCGAAAGCGUGGGGAGCAAACAGGAUUAGAUACCCUGGUAGUCCACGCCGUAAACGAUGAGUGCUAAGUGUUGGAGGGUUUCCGCCCUUCAGUGCUGCAGCAAACGCAUUAAGCACUCCGCCUGGGGAGUACGACCGCAAGGUUG
rnacentral:rRNA from 1 species